rnacentral:rRNA from 1 species
GGAGGAAAAGAAACCAACAGGGAUUCCCUGAGUAACGGCGAGCGAAAAGGGAAGAGCCCAGCGCCGAAUCCCGAGCCCUUGCGGUUCUGGGAAAUGUGGCGUUUAGGAGUGAGCGUGCCGGAGGUAGGCUCUGCAGCAAGUCCCCCUGACCGGGGCUUUCUUUCCAGAGCGGGUGCGAGGCCCAUAGCUGCUAGGCCUCUUCCGGAUGCGAUCUCCUUGGAGUCGGGUUGCUUGGGAGUGCAGCCUCAAUCGGGUGGUAAACUCCACCUAAGGCUAAAUACGGCCGUGAGACCGAUAGCAAACAAGUACCGUGAGGGAAAGUUGCAAAGAACUUUGAAGAGAGAGUUCAAGAGUACGUGAAACUGCUCAGAGGUAAACGGGUGGGCCCUCGAAAUCCUGUGGCGGGAGGAUUCAGUCGGAAAGUCGGGGCCUGGCCGGCCGGUCGAGUACAGGUUCCGCCGAAGGACCCUUCCGGCUGCCGGCUCUCCGAUCCGUACGACGCAUUUGUUUCCCGUCCGAAGGACGCCGCAACCGGUUGGGAGACGGCCUGAAAGCUCUGCGAGACAGAUGGCCGGUGGCGACCCUCGGGUUUCCUCCGGUGCCUGGUCGGCGGAGCGACGGCACGUAUCCCGACCGUGGUAUCGAAAGGCCCGAUUUAGGGCUCUACCGCCUCCUCCUUCUAGCGAGGACGCCGGACUGGUUCGGUGGCAGAGGACGUCUGACUGCGGGCGCACGGACUCACUCCGUGGCCGCGCGGUCAAGAGGCCUCGUUGGCUGCCCGUGAUCCGUUGGAGUGCUGGCGGUUAGCGGCGAGUAGAUCGGUCACCCACCCGACCCGUCUUGAAACACGGACCAAGGAGUCUAACAUGUGUGCGAGUCAAUGGGUCUUGAAUAAGCCCAGAGGCGCAACGAAAGCAAAGGUCGGACUCGACGCCGACUGAGUUGGGAUCCCCGGCCUUCGGGUCGGGGCGCACCAACGACCCGUCCUCUCCGACUUGUCGGUUGGGCGGAGUAUGAGCAUACACGUUGGGACCCGAAAGAUGGUGAACUAUGCCCGGGCAGGACGAAGCCAGAGGAAACUCUGGUGGAGGUCCGCAGCGGUUCUGACGUGCAAAUCGAUCGUCAGAUCCGGGUCUAGGGGCGAAAGACUAAUCGAACCAUCUAGUAGCUGGUUCCCUCCGAAGUUUCCCUCAGGAUAGCUGGCGCUCGGAGAAAUCAGUCUCAUCCGGUAAAGCGAAUGAUUAGAGGCCUUGGGGCCGAAACGACCUCAACCUAUUCUCAAACUUUAAAUGGGUGAGAUGGCCGUCCUGCAUGACUGAGGACGGCCGACAGGAUGAGAGUGCCCAGUGGGCCAUUUUUGGUAAGCAGAACUGGCGCUGUGGAAUGAACCAAACGCCGGGUUACGGCAUCCGAUGCGAGACGCUCAUUAGACCCCAUGAAAGGUGUUGGUUGCUCUAGACAGCAGGACGGUGGCCAUGGAAGUCGGAAUCCGCUAAGGAGUGUGUAACAACUCACCUGCCGAAGCAACUAGCCCUGAAAAUGGACGAUGCUCCAGCGUCGAGCCCAUACCCGGCCGCUGCCGCAGAACUCCCCCCGCGGAGGUUGACGCGGCAGUGAGUAGGAGGGUCGCAGCGGCGAGCGUUGAAGGUGCCGGGCGCGAGCCCGCCUGGAGCCGCCGCUGGUGCAGAUCUUGGUGGUAGUAGCAAAUACUCAAGUGAGAACCUUGAGGACUGAAGUUGGAGAAGGGUUCCAUGUGAACAGCAGUUGAACAUGGGUCAGUCGGCCCUAAGGGAUCGGAGAAAUCCGUUCCGAAGCGGGACAUUACGUGUGUGUGCUCGUCCCGCUGCCGACCGAAAGGGAAUGGGGUCAAUAUUCCCCGACCCGGACACGGAGAUAGUGCCCUCGGGCACAAGUGCGGUAACGCAAGCGAACUCGGAGACGUCGACGGAGGACCCGGGGAAGAGUUGUCUUUUCUUUGUAAGGGUUCGUGUCCCUGGAAUCGGCUCGUCCGGAGAUAGGGAUGCUGUCCCCGUAAAAGCACCGCGGCUCUUGCGGUGUCCGGUGCGCCUCCGUCGGCCCUUGAAAAUCCGAGGGAGAGAGUGUGAUUUUCGUGCCGGUCCGUACCCAUAUCCGCAGCAGGUCUCCAAGGUGAACAGCCUCUAGUCGAUA